rnacentral:lncRNA from 1 species
GAUAUUAGAGCUAGUUCCCUGCUUCCAGAUCUCUGUGGGAUAAUCAUUGGCACAUGAUCAAUGAAUGGCAUAUUGUAGCUAGAAUCUAGUCUCUUUCGAGACUAGCCACAAGCCGAUCAUGGUCAACUAUGGAUCGAUCGUGAUCAUAGGUAGGGGGAUUAGGAGAGUGAGAGUGGAUGAUUGAUUCUUGAUAGCCUUAGAAAAUUUAUUUUAGUGAAAUAUAUAUUUUGAAAUCUAUGUUGUUGGAUAUGAU